rnacentral:rRNA from 1 species
CGAGAGGACCGGGAUGGACGGACCUCUGGUGUUCCGGUUGUUCUGCCAGGAGCAAUGCCGGGUAGCCAUGUCCGGACGGGAUAACCGCUGAAGGCAUCUAAGCGGGAAGCCCACCCCAAGAUUAGGUCUCCCGUGGGGUAAACCCACCUGAAGGUCCCUGGUAGACUACCAGGUUGAUAGGCUGGAGGUGUAAGCGCAGUAAUGCGUUCAGCCUACCAGUACUAAUAGACCGUGCGCCUUGCCUGUAUCCU